rnacentral:lncRNA from 1 species
AAAAUCAUGAAAAGCAUUCAUUAACCCCUGAGUGUUACAAUCCUAAUCAGAGCAAUGACGCCAAAAGUGUGCUACCACUAUCCUCCUCUCAACGCGGAGCACCUGCACGUUACCAAUAUAAAGGUAACGGCCAACAACAAAAGGGUGAGAUACUCAAAUCAUAUAAUCAAGAUAAUGAUAAGCAAUAUAUAAGUAAAUUCGGAAAGUUAGAAAUAUUGUUACCACAUCG